rnacentral:rRNA from 1 species
UACGUAGGGUGCAAGCGUUUAAUCGGAAUUACUGGGCGUAAAGCGUGCGCAGGCGGUUUUGUAAGUCUGAUGUGAAAUCCCCGGGCUCAACCUGGGAAUUGCAUUGGAGACUGCAAGGCUAGAAUCUGGCAGAGGGGGGUAGAAUUCCACGUGUAGCAGUUGAAAUGCGUAGAUAUGUGGAGGAACACCGAUGGCGAAGGCAGCCCCCUGGGUCAAGAUUGACGCUCAUGCACGAAAGCGUGGGGAGCAAACAGGAUUAC